UACGUAGGGCGCAAGCGUUGUCCGGAAUUACUGGGCGUAAAGCGUGCGUAGACGGUAGCGUAAGUCGGGUGUGAAAGCCCCGGGCUCAACCUGGGAAUUGCAUUCGAGACUGCUCUGCUAGGGUGCGGAAGAGGGAAGCGGAAUUUCCGGUGUAGCGGUGAAAUGCGUAGAUAUCGGAAGGAACACCAGUGGCGAAAGCGGCUUCCUGGUCCAGCACCGACGUUCAGGCACGAAAGCGUGGGGAGCAAACAGG
rnacentral:rRNA from 1 species